rnacentral:lncRNA from 1 species
AGCGGAUCUCUAUAGCCUUCUCGCCCCAGCCCAUUAUCUGGUUGGAACAGAUGUAGGCUGAAAAGAGAAGAUGGUGGAAGGGUUGUAAGGAGGGUUCAGUCCUAGUCACCCCGGAACAAGCAGCUUGGGGUGGUUCUUCACUUACCCACAGAGGUGGGCAUCUCUCCCCACUGCAGCACCACAUCCUUGAUGAUCCGCCCGAGUUUCACUAUGAGCUCGGGUGUUGGUGGGAUUGACGUUGACCACAGAGCCCUUCCUCACAUCGAACUGCAGUUGAUCAAGGCGACCACCUUCUCCACCCACUAGGGCUGCCAAAGAGGAGGAGGGAGGGUGGGCUGCAGCCCUCAGUGAUAACUUCUAUUCCUAUGCCCCUCCAUCUGAUCUUGACACGUCAGAAUCCUCUGAAGGGGAG